UGUAGCUCAGUAGUAGAGCACUUGCCUAGCAUACAUGAGGUUCUGGGUUUAAUCCCCAGCA
rnacentral:tRNA from 1 species